rnacentral:rRNA from 1 species
AACUUUAGUUAGUGGCGGACGGGUGAGUAACGCGUGAAUGACCUGACCUUAACUGGGGGACAACACAUGGAAACGUGUGCUAAUACCGCAUAGGACCACGAAGUCGCAUGGCUUUGGGGUGAAAGGAGAAAUCCGGAUAAGGAGGGGUUCGCGUCCCAUUAGCUAGUUGGAGGGGUAACGGCCCACCAAGGCGACGAUGGGUAGCCGGACUGAGAGGUUGAACGGCCACACUGGAACUGAGAGACGGUCCAGACUCCUACGGGAGGCAGCAGUGGGGAAUAUUGGGCAAUGGGGGAAACCCUGACCCAGCAACGCCGCGUGAGGGAAGAAGGUUUUCGGAUUGUAAACCUCUGUCCGUGGGGACGAAAAGAAUGACGGUACCCAUGGAGGAAGCCCCGGCAAACUACGUGCCAGCAGCCGCGGUAAUACGUAGGGGGCGAGCGUUGUCCGGAAUUACUGGGCGUAAAGGGUGCGUAGGUGGCUCAACAAGUCGGAUGUGGAAUACCCGGGCUUAACCCGGGGGUGUCAUUCGAAACUGUAGAGCUUGAGUGCAGAAGAGGAAAGUGGAAUUCCCAGUGUAGCGGUGAAAUGCGUAGAUAUUGGGAGGAACACCAGUGGCGAAAGCGACUUUCUGGGCUGUAACUGACACUGAGGCACGAAAGCGUGGGGAGCAAACAGGAUUAGAUACCCUGGUAGUCCACGCUGUAAAUGGUGGAUGCUAGGUGUAGGGGGUAUCGACCCCCCCUGUGCCGGAGCUAACGCAAUAAGCAUCCCGCCUGGGGAGUACGGCGCAAGGUUGAAACUCAAAGGAAUUGACGGGCCCGCACAGCAGCGAGCAUGUGGAUUAUCGAGCACGCGAGACUACCAGACUGACAUCCAU